CCUUUAUUUGCUGCGUAUUUAUUAAUCUGUAAUUUGAACUUGUGGAAUGUUCUGUUGCGGAAUAUAAUUUGCGACAAGUGGAAGUUCCAGAAUUUCAACUAUUUUUCAACCAAUUACAUGCUUAGAAUAUAUCACGUGUUGUAGUAAUUCGAUCUGUUGAUAACAAGCGCUAAGUUCGAUCUUUUGCAAACAUUCAAAGAGGAAAGGAUUUUUAUUCAAAUUUUCCACUUAUAAAGUUCCAAAGACCUAAUAAAAUACAUGGAAUUUGUUUUCAAAGGUAUGUCUAUUGUGUAU